rnacentral:rRNA from 1 species
AUACGUAGGUGCCAAACGUUGUCCGGAUCUAUUGGGCGUAAAGGGCUCGUAGGCGGUUUAACAAGUCGGUCGUGAAAGCCCGGGGCUCAACCCCGGGACGCCGGUCGAAACUGUUAUGACUAGGGUCCGGUAGAGGUGAGUGGAAUUCUCGGUGUAGCGGUGGAAUGCGCAGAUAUCGAGAGGAACACCAGUAGCGAAGGCGGCUCACUGGGCCGGUACCGACGCUGAGGAGCGAAAGCAUGGGGAGCAAACAGGAUUAGAUACCCUAGUAGUCC